UACGGAGGGUGCGAGCGUUGUCCGGAAUCAUUGGGCGUAAAGGGCGCGUAGGUGGCCCGGUCAGUUCGUGGUGAAAGCGCGGGGCUCAACCCUGCGUCGGCCAUGAAUACUGCCGCGGCUGGAGCACUGUAGAGGCAGGCGGAAUUCCGGGUGUAGCGGUGGAAUGCGUAGAUAUCGUUUGGAACGCCAAUGGUGAAAACAACUUGCUGGGGGUGUGCUGACGCUGAGACACGAAAGCCAGGGGAGCAAACGGG
rnacentral:rRNA from 1 species